rnacentral:rRNA from 1 species
GUUGUAAGGUUAAGAAAUUAAGCGUACACGGUGGAUGCCUAGGCAAUCAGAGGCGAAGAAGGACGUGUUAAUCUGCGAAAAGCAACGGUGAGUCGAU